rnacentral:rRNA from 1 species
GUGGGUAGUUUGACUGGGGCGGUCUCCUCCUAAAGAGUAACGGAGGAGCACGAAGGUUGGCUAAUCCUGGUCGGACAUCAGGAGGUUAGUGCAAUGGCAUAAGCCAGCUUGACUGCGAGCGUGACGGCGCGAGCAGGUGCGAAAGCAGGUCAUAGUGAUCCGGUGGUUCUGAAUGGAAGGGCCAUCGCUCAACGGAUAAAAGGUACUCCGGGGAUAACAGGCUGAUACCGCCCAAGAGUUCAUAUCGACGGCGGUGUUUGGCACCUCGAUGUCGGCUCAUCACAUCCUGGGGCUGAAGUAGGUCCCAAGGGUAUGGCUGUUCGCCAUUUAAAGUGGUACGCGAGCUGGGUUUAGAACGUCGUGAGACAGUUCGGUCCCUAUCUGCCGUGGGCGCUGGAGAACUGAGGGGGGCUGCUCCUAGUACGAGAGGACCGGAGUGGACGCAUCACUGGUGUUCGGGUUGUCAUGCCAAUGGCACUGCCCGGUAGCUAAAUGCGGAAGAGAUAAGUGCUGAAAGCAUCUAAGCACGAAACUUGCCCCGAGAUGAGUUCUCCCUGAGACUUAGAGUCUCCUGAAGGAACGUUGAAGACGACGACGUUGAUAGGCCGGGUGUGUAAGCGCAGCGAUGCGUUGAGCUAACCGGUACU